GAUAUCAUCCCUGUAACAGUCAGCAGAUAUCAUCCCUGUAACAGUCAGCAGAUAUCAUCCCUGUAACAGUCAGCAGAUAUCCACACUGCGAGGUGAACUAGAACAAUGGUGAACAUCCCCCUUCUGUCCUGUGUUCCCUCCAGGGAGGAGUGUGACUAGAUGAACAGAUGGAGAAGGUAACGUCACAAGAUGAUGUUAAGAACGUUCCUCUUAACCUGUAGUCUGUGUUUUUCUCUCUCAGGGAGGAGCGUGAGCGUUGGAUCCGGGCUAAGUACGAGCAGCGGUUGUUCCUGGCGUCGCUCUCGGGGGUGGACCUAUCCCUGGGCCAGCAGCUGCUGAGGGCCACGGCCGAGGAGGACCUGCGCUGCGUCAUCCUGCUUCUGGCCCAUGGCUCCCGGGAGCAAGUCAACGAGACGUGUGGAGAGGGAGACGGACGCACCGCCCUUCACCUGGCGUGCCGCAAGGGCAACGUGGUCAUCACACAGCUCCUCAUCUGGUACGGGGUGGAUCUGAUGGCGAGGGACGCCCACGGUAACAGCGCGCUGGCGUACGCACGGCAGGCCAGCAGCCAGGAGUGUGUUGACACGCUGCUGCAGUACGGCUGUCCCGAUGAACGCUACCCACUUAUGGCCACGCCCAACCUGUCCCGACGCAACACCAACCGCAACAACAGCUGCAGCAGCACAGGCAGCACCGCACUCAUAUAAACACUACCGCCCCUUCAGGAGGCCUCUGGGUACUGCGGCUCGCAGGAUAUUAACAGGCUAAACACACAUUGUGACAUUAUAUGCAUAUUACACACUCAAAAUCCUGACUGAAAAAAAACUGUGACAUUUUUGGAAGUGAGGGGCUUGGAGAGAGUCUGAAUUGGGAGAAAAUGACUGAACUCUUUUGGGAACCACUACUUCUGCACUCCUUGUCUUAGAGCCCUCGUUGACCUCUUACCCUCUCCACUCUGACACUAAUCUCACACAGAAGACACUAGCACUCCUGUUGCCGUUGAUGAAGCCCUCUGUCCUUUUGUCUCUCUGCCCCACAUCAUGAUGACCCCCCCCACCCGCGCUUCAGUCCAAUUGUCCAUUUCCUCACAAGGCCCUCCCCUGUAAAAGCAUGGGGGCAGGAGGUGGCUUGGCGUUACUUCCGGGUGGAGUCAGGUCACCGGCUUCCCCCACUGCUAUCUACCUGGCUGCAUGUGGCCCUAAGCAUGAUGGGACAUGGGGAGGAGGUGGCCAAAAUCACAUGAAAAGCAGCGAAUCCCCCUUCUCAUAUACCCUCUAUUGACUCCGAUCUGCAAUCUGCUCCCAGCUUCAACCCAGACCACACACACACUAUAUCACUACUAUGUCACUGCUUUCUCAGCUGUACAGAAACAGAGGCCUGCGGGUUUGGAAAGACGUUGGAUGUUUGAAGAAGGCCUCUGUAGCAUGUUGGGGAAGGGGGGGGUUGCUUUUCACUUAAGUUAUGGGAGCUCUACCUUAUAACAUGAGAACUACAAAGAACACUGAUCAACUGAACAGAACUCCUCUUCUACUCUGGUUCUUCUUUAGUUCUCCACAUAAUCAGUGUUUCCCCUCUCUUCUCUAGAGUCAAUUAUGUGAUCUCUCUCUCCUGUGGAUGUUUAUUUUUUAUUUUUAAUGUGGAACAAAAAUAUCUUAUUGUAUAAACAGUUUAAGAAAGUGAGAGAGAAAAAAAUCCUAAAUAUCCGAUAUUCCUUGGAAGUAAAACAGAAAGUGUGAUAGCAUGUCAGACACUUUCUCUUUUCAAUUAAAACAAAAAGGUUGUUCAUCACGUCCACAUUGUGUAUAUCUCAUUGUGAAUUACUGGACCAAUGAAUCAGUUCUACAGAGAAGUGACAUUGUGAUUUCUAUUAGAAGCCACUUGCGAGGUGUAAAAGGCGUGUAUGUAUUUCCAGGCUCAGGGACCAGAGACGGUCAAUUCUAUGUGAUCUUGAAACCCCCACAAUUCCACUCGCCUCAACAACAGUCUUAGAUUUACAUUUCAUAAUUUCAGAGGAACAGUCCACCUCCAGAAUGUAUAGGAAGCAUCAUGAGGCUCAGUAUCAGACCAUCAGCCUUCUUCAGGAUCAUCCUACGGUUGGUCGACCACAUGGAGACCAGGGGAAAGUGUUUUCUGUGUUGUGUUUUAUCCUUCUGCAUAUUAUUCUGCCUUUUAUCAGGUCAUCAAAUACACUGUAUCUGCUGUUUCAGCUGGAAACGCAUGGUGAUAAUGUCUUGUUGCAUAGUGAUCGGCAGAGGAUGGGAGGACAUGGAUAGGCAGGACUCUGUCAUGUUCCUGUUGAUUACUUAGGUGUGGUGCAGGUAUCAGUUGUCAGGUCCAUACUCCCAUUCACUAACACUGAUCUACAACUGAUCCAGGAACAGCAUCCACGGUGUAAAUGUAGCACUAUUUAUACUAGAUGGGCUCAUCAGUGUUCAAUCUAUUUCAUUUAAUCUAAGAAGCCGUUUGUCUGACAGUUCAAUCCAUGAUGGGCUGUCAGCUUUUGUAGAAUAUCUACGAUCUGAUGGAUACUGUUUCUUCAUAGGAUUAGACUGUUCUGAUUCGGAGAAGAGUUCCUCAUUUGUGCCCCCUCUGAGUUGUCCCCUUGUCAAGUUGACUGACAUCAUAUAUGACGUCAUAGGUCAGGAUAGACUCUGGGCCGCCUCCCAUCAGGUCUUCUGAGGUACUCGGCAUGCGUUUCCUCCAUCCUCUGUCUGUCAUUGGAUAGCCAUGUCUGUUGCUCCCCAACCAAUCAUACAGUCUCUGCCUCUAGAAUCUCUUCGUCUGCGUCCUGAAUGGCACCCUAUUCCCUUGAACAGUGCACUACUUUUGACCCACGCCCAUAGGAUUCUGGUUAAAAGCAGUUCACUAUGUAGGGAAUAGGCAGCCAUUUGGGAUGCACCCUUUCUGCUCAGUGACUCGAUAGGAAGGGCUUCUCUGCGUCUGGAAUCCUACUGUGUGUAAAUAAUAUUUUACUUCUCUCUCUUCCUCUAUCGCUUUUCUUUCUCUCUUUUUGAAAAGCUCUUUUGGUGGUGAUGUCAUGAUGUAUCUGAAGGAAGUAGGAAGUUCUUUACUCUGAGAGCGUCGUGUUCUCUGCGGUUUGAGUGGAGGUUUGCCGAUGCCCAUGUGGUGUUUUUAUUGGGAGAAAUAAGCCAGUGAUGGGUUGACUGAACGUUACUGGAAUGUUUAGCAUCAGGGGCUUUCCUUUCCUCCUGUCCCUCUUCGUGUUGCCAACGUCUCUGCUCUGCACAAGUCCCUCUGCCUUUGCCUGUUCUUAAACCUUACUGUGUGUGUGUCCUCGUGUGUGAUAUGAGUCUUUCUCCCCCCAAACCAUUCCUAAGCGUCAAAUGCUCCCGUAUUUAUGAUUGCUUUUGCCCUUGAUGUUACCGUGUGUGUGUGUGUGUGUGUGUGUGUGUGUGUGUGUGUGUGUGUGUGUGUGUGUGUGUGUGUGUGUGUGUGUGUGUGUGUGUGUGUGUGUGUGUGUGUGUGUGUGUGUGUGUGUGUGUGUGUGUGUGUGUGUGUGUAUAUAAACGCCUAAUAUAAGUAGUGACUCCUGCCUCACCUGUACAGGUAUUAAAGCAAUAUGGAGGACAGGUAUAGAUGUCCAUGCUAACGGUGGUGUUUCUGUCUAACACACACCUUGCAAUACCUGCGUAUGCUGUAGACAAGACCAUACAUCACACACACUCUUCUCUGUGUCCGAUAGAAAUGUGAAAAGAGCUCAACAUGUUGAGUGUGAUUACCAUGAGAAGUGCUGAGGCAUCAGGCUUUGUCCACAGGCAGCCACGAACACUAAAGUGCACCUGACCAAACCUUUAUUGAACAUUAUUGAACCUUAUUGUUGCAGUAGCAGAAAUAGCAGCGUUAAACCUCUCCCUCGUCGCUAGAGGGAUUUCUCCCCCUUAAUAACACUUGUAAGUGAGGUUUUGACUGAGGAGGAGACCAAGUCGUUUUAUUUCUGACAAAAUGAUGCACUGCGUAUCCAGUUUGAUGCUCUCGUCAGUCCUCUCCUCUCAGUCUUUCCUGUAGAACACUUUUGCAUGGGUGGAUGUUUGUGUAGAUCCCUGGUCUCUUCCCUCAUAUUGUCUGCUGGCCUGAAACUGUUCCUAUCUCAGCCACUGGCUCUCACACUAGUGGGAGAUAUGAAGAGGUUAGACAUCGUAUUGGACACAAUCCUCAUUGGAGGUCAAGCUGCUCUCCCUUCCCCCUCUGAAGUAGCCAGUGGAAGUCAUGAUUAGCCAAUAGUGUGAGCUGGAAUCCAGAAGAUUUCAGGCUGUCUGGAAUCUCCUCUUUAGACGUGAGACCUUGAGACAUGUAUCAGUGUCCCUGCCAGGGAGAAGAGCACUAUGGGGGACACACUCACCAUGUCAAUCAGUCUGGUGUUACUUACGUACCAUUAAACCAGCCACAGCUCUCCCUUCUAUACAUGCCAGUCGACCACAUGUACAUAGAUGUAAUCAACAAACCGUAAUAAACAAACUAUGGUCAUUUGGUUUUGUUUAUUUGGUUCCCGUGUGUAUUUGGUGACCUCUUUGUCGUUGCUAAUUCAUCCUGUAUGUAGCUACACAACCCAACCCAGACGACUGCCAGUCAAAUGAUUUAAUAUGGUUCUAAUGCUGUCUAGAUAUGGAAGAAGACCUCUCUCCUCCUAACUGCUUGAGUUUGGUUCAGUUAUCAGUCUAGUCCGUCCACCUCUAUUGUGACCUAUCAGCAUCAAGCAGCGUUAUUAUUCCAAUUGUCAUUGAUCUCCUAAUUAUUAUUGUUAUUAUUAUUGUUCUAUUGAGUUUGUGUCAUCUGUACAGUACCGUGUUGAUACCUAAUACAGUCUUCUGCUGUAAUGUGUCUCUUUUCAAUAAAGACUAAAUAUGCUUCUUAA